rnacentral:rRNA from 1 species
AUGGACCGGGUGCUGCUGCCGGUGAGGGUGAAGGAGGAGUGGCCGCCGCCGCCGCCGGAGGAGGAGGAGGAGUUGGAGCAUCGGGGCCUGGCGCCGCGGCCGAUGGAGGGGCUGCACGAGACGGGCCCGCCGCCGUUCCUGACCAAGACGUUCGACCUGGUGGCCGACCCGGCCACCGACGGCGUCGUCUCCUGGGGCCGCGCCGGGGACAGCUUCGUCGUCUGGGACCCCCACCUCUUCGCCGCCGUGCUGCUCCCGCGCUUCUUCAAGCACAGCAACUUCUCCAGCUUCGUCCGCCAGCUCAACACCUACGGUUUUAGAAAGAUUGAUCCAGACAGAUGGGAGUUCGCGAACGAGGGUUUCAUUAGGGGCCAGAGACAGCUUCUGAAGAUGAUAAAGAGAAGGAGACCAAUGUCUUAUCUCCCUUCAUCACAGCAGCAGGCUCUUGGCUCCUGCCUCGAGGUCGGCCAGUUCGGAUUCGACGAAGAAAUCGAAGUGCUAAAGCGCGACAAGAACGCCUUACUCGCAGAGGUGGUGAAACUGAGGCAGGAGCAGCAGAGCAGCAGAGCUGACAUGCGAGCCAUGGAAGAGAGGUUACACCACGUCGAGCAGAAGCAGCUCCAGAUGAUGGGUUUCCUGGCAAGAGCAAUACAGAACCCUGACUUCUUUCUCCAGCUGAUCCAGCAACAAAAUAAACUGAAGGACCUCGAGGACGGUUACCCGACGAAGAGGAGGAGGCCCAUCGACGUAAUGCCGUUCCUUGGCCCUGAGGGGACCAGUCAGAGUGAGCCACUCGAGUCCACAUUCAUUUUUGAGGACAGGGAAUUUUCAGAGCUGGAGAAUUUAGCCAUGAACAUUCAGGGCAUCAGGAAGGGCAUGGAGGAUGACAGAGGUGGUCGGAAUCAGGGCUGUGGUGAGGCCGAGCUGACUGACGACUUCUGGGAGGAGCUGCUGAGUGAAGGAAUGAGGGAUGAAGCUGAGAUGCUAGAGCUGGAGAGGAGGAGAUCUAGAUGUUUCGACGCGUAG